rnacentral:tRNA from 1 species
AAAUAAGAAGCGAUAUCCCGCUCCCAGUUUCGGCCUGGAAUUAGAUAAUUAUUUAUCCUUAUUUU